CAUCCGACGCGAAUGCACUUUAGCCGCUUAGCGUUGAGAUUACUGUAAACAACGACUAAUUUUUGUCUUUCCUGAAAGAAGUGCUCAUGUAACACACAUAUUCCUUGUCAUGAAUUAAAGGUAAGGAGUUAAACUAAACAGGUUAAGUCGAACAACUGAUGUGACGUCGGCUUCGCCCUCAAGCGGAAGUAGAGCAAACCUCCAACAAACAGCGUUAUAACGGCAGAGUUAUUUGAAGGAAACAACGGAUAAUUCAGCGCUAAAGCCCAAGUAUUUUCCAGCCACAGGAAGAAUGAAGGGAUGUGUCGCUGGAUGUGAAAGCUGCGUCGACGCAUUUUGCACGUACCAAACUGGUAAUUUCGCAACUAUGUAGUCGCAGAGGAUUAUCGAAGUGGGCCUGCGAAAAGUUGUUCCAGCAAUGGGGCUUUACAGGAGCGCAUUGGUUGUUUUGACAUCCGCCAUGGCGGAGCGGGAAGAGUUUCAGAGAGCGACGUCACAUGCAAAGGGUCAAUAGGAGACUAAUAAAGUUACCUUGACAGA